CACGCCGUAAACGAUGAAUACUAGGUGUAGGGGUUGUCAUGAUCUCUGUGCCGCCGCUAACGCAUUAAGUAUUCCGCCUGGGGAGUACGGUCGCAAGAUUAAAACUCAAAGGAAUUGACGGGGGCCCGCACAAGCAGCGGAGCAUGUGGUUUAAUUCGAAGCAACGCGAAGAACCUUACCUAGACUUGACAUCUCCUGCAUUACUCUUAAUCGAGGAAGUCUCUUCGGAGACAGGAUGACAGGUGG
rnacentral:rRNA from 1 species